rnacentral:rRNA from 1 species
UACGUAGGGGGCUAGCGUUGUCCGGAAUCAUUGGGCGUAAAGCGCGUGUAGGCGGUUCGGUAAGUCCGCUGUGAAAGUCGGGGGCUCAACCCUCGGAUGCCGGUGGAUACUGUCGAGCUUGAGUACGGAAGAGGCGAGUGGAAUUCCUGGUGUAGCGGUGAAAUGCGCAGAUAUCGGGAGGAACACCAGUAGCGAAGGCGGCUCGCUGGGCCAUACCUGACGCUGAGACGCGAAAGCGUGGGGAGCAAACAGG